rnacentral:lncRNA from 1 species
GAUACACCUUUAUUUAUGUUAUGUUAUUCUUUAAUGAAUAUAAGUUUAUCAGUGAUCAACUAUUUUCAGGACCCCGGUGUUAGCACACCAAGUAGUGGGUAGUAAGAAACUCACUGAGGCUUAGAAGUCUCACCCCACGAUUAUUGUUUAUAGGUAACAGGUUGUUCGUUCAAGAAGUUGAGGAUUAGACGGAUUAGCAAGAUUAUGGAAGUCUGUUCGUUCGAUCACCUGUUUCAAGCUUAAGAAACUCUUGUAUAGGAUUAUGCCAUAUGUACAUGUAUAUAUCAGUUAUCAUGGCUCUGAUGUAAAGAUAUUUGCAUUUACACCACGACAGUUUAUUUCAGUUUAGUAAAUCAUGUAUAUUUGGUAUUUCCUUCAGACUACUUGAGUAAGGAUCAGUUUUAUUUCCGCAAUUUUAAUGUUUUCCGAUUCAGUUAUGUAUGCUCCUAUUGACAUUCUAGACAAAUCAAUACGGGGUGUUAUA